AAGAUUUUAAGUUAACUUUAAACUAUUAGCCUUCAAAGUUAAAAAUACUAUAAUUUGGAAAAUCUUA
rnacentral:tRNA from 1 species